GUGCUCAAUUUGACAGCAUAUAUACUGAAAUUGGAACAAUACAGACGAGACUAGCAUGGCCCCUGUGCAAGAAUGACAGAUUUCUAAAUCAUUCUUUAUUUUUUUCU